rnacentral:rRNA from 1 species
CGGCGUGCCUAAUGCAUGCAAGUCGAACGGGUGAUGGAGCUUCGGCUCCACCGCUAGUGGCAGAUGGGUGAGUAACGCGUAAGUGACCUACCCUCGAGUGGGGGAUAACCCCGAGAAAUCGGAGCUAGUACCGCAUGAAGUGAGCGAUCACCAAAGCCGAGGGGCGCUUGGGGAGGGGCUUGCGUCCGAUUAGCUAGUUGGUAGGGUAAUGGCCUACCAAGGCGGAGAUCGGUAGCUGGUCUGAGAGGAUGGUCAGCCACACUGGGACUGAGAUACGGCCCAGACUCCUACGGGAGGCAGCAGCAGGGGAUAUUGCGCAAUGGGCGAAAGCCUGACGCAGCAACGCCGCGUGGGGGAAGAAGGCCUUCGGGUUGUAAACCCCUUUUCUUGGGGAAGAAGUAAGUGACGGUACCCGAGGAAUAAGCCUCGGCUAACUACGUG